rnacentral:rRNA from 1 species
GACGAACGCUGGCGGCGUGCUUAACACAUGCAAGUCGAACGGAAAGGCCCUGCUUUUGUGGGGUGCUCGAGUGGCGAACGGGUGAGUAACACGUGAGUAACCUGCCCUUGACUUUGGUAUAACUUCAGGAAACUGGGGCUAAUACCGGAUAGGAGCUCCUGCUGCAUGGUGGGGGUUGGAAAGUUUCGGCGGUUGGGGAUGGACUCGCGGCUUAUCAGCUUGUUGGUGGGGUAGUGGCUUACCAAGGCUUUGACGGGUAGCCGGCCUGAGAGGGUGACCGGCCAGAUUGGGACUGAGAUACGGCCCAGACUCCUACGGGAGGCAGCAGUGGGGAAUAUUGCACAAUGGGCGGAAGCCUGAUGCAGCAACGCCGCGUGCGGGAUGACGGCCUUCGGGUUGUAAACCGCUUUCGCCUGUGACGAAGCGUGAGUGACGGUAAUGGGUAAAGAAGCACCGGCUAACUACGUG